GCUCCCUUUGCCGCCGCCUUAGCCCGGGACCCGAACCCAGCCUCUCCCCUACCCGAACACCGGCCCCGGCUCCACCGAGGCCCGGGUCCCCCAGCCCCGUCUCGCCGCCGCCAUGGCGGACCCUAAAUACGCCGACCUUCCCGGCAUUGAAUGAGCCAGAUGUUUAUGAAACCAGCGACCUACCUGAGGAUGAUCAAGCGGAGUUCGAUGCG
rnacentral:sRNA from 1 species